rnacentral:lncRNA from 1 species
UCAGGACUCAGAGCUUUUAUCCAGCCUUGAGCUAUUCUUGCUCUGCGUGGGGGAGGGAGGGCUGUAGGCUGCUUCGUCUUCCGAGUAAGGAUGUGAAAAUGAAGAGGAGCCUGGUCUGAGGCUGAGGGGGGAGACAGCAGAUGAGUGCGUGGCCCAGGAGCCAGAGGAAAAGGAGCUGAAGAAAGAGCCUGGUGGGUACCUUUGUGCAAAUUGGGAAAAGAUGCCCUUUUUCUGGAAAUGAGCAGCCAGUCCAGGAUGCACAGUUCACAGAAAAUAGAACAUUAACGAUGUCUGCUGUGUUGUAUCUCCAAGCAGGAAAACAAGGCUCUGUGGGGGACAGGGCAGUGAAAAGGACCUUUUGCAGAGAUUACUCAUAAGAAACAAGGCUAAGUCUCCCCAGAGGAAAACUACAAGGGUCCUACCGCCGGGGUAGUGACGAGCACAUGCACGAGUGAGUCUGGUUGCUCUCAUCUUUGAAUUCUCUGCUGAAAUAGCACGUCCUCACAGGGAACUUGCCCAACCACCCUCUUCAAAGCAGAAGCCCCAGGUUCAUUUCUGACCUAGCAUUCCAUUUAUUUUCUUCAGAACAUGUGCUAUAAUAUGUAAAUAGCUUCUUUAUUGUUCACUGUUAAAUUUUUCUAUCUAGAAUGAAAUGUGUUUAUUGCAGGAAAAUGGAAUCUUGUAAGAACGGUUUGUCCAGAUCACUUCGGGAUCCCCAGCACCUGGCACGUGGUGGCACCCACUAGCUUCUCAAUGAAAGCUUGUUCAAUAAAUGAAUGACCCCCACUAUUGGUGAGAGUGUCUGAAUUUAGACACCGUUUAA